CCCUUAGAUCUUCUGGGCCGCACACGCGCUACACUGAAGGAGGCAGCGUGUACUCCUGGAUCGAAAGAUUUGGGUAACCCGCGAAUCUCCUUCGUGCUAGGGAUUGAGGUUUGCAAUUAUCCUUCAUGAACGAGGAAUUCCCAGUAAGUGCAAGUCAUAAGCUUGCGCUGACUACGUCCCUGCCCUUUGUACACACCGCCCGUCGCUACUACCGAUUGAAUGAUUUAGUGAGGACUUCGGACUGGGACCGAUGCGGCUUUCGGGCUGCGUCGGUAUUCUGGAAAGAUGUCCAAACUGUAUCAUUUAGAGGAAGUAAAAGUCGUAACA
rnacentral:rRNA from 1 species